rnacentral:rRNA from 1 species
UAGGGAAUCUUCGGCAAUGGACGAAAGUCUGACCGAGCAACGCCGCGUGAGUGAAGAAGGUUUUCGGAUCGUAAAACUCUGUUGUUAGAGAAGAACAAGGACGUUAGUAACUGAACGUCCCCUGACGGUAUCUAACCAGAAAGCCACGGCUAACUACGUGCCAGCAGCCGCGGUAAUACGUCGGUGGCAAGCGUUGUCCGGAUUUAUUGGGCGUAAAGCGAGCGCAGGCGGUUUCUUAAGUCUGAUGUGAAAGCCCCCGGCUCAACCGGGGAGGGUCAUUGGAAACUGGUAGACUUGAGUGCAGAAGAGGAGAGUAGAAUUCGAUGUGUAGCGGUGAAAUGCGUAGAUAUAUGGAGGAACACCAUUGGCGAAGGCGGCUCUCUGGUCUGUAACUGACGCUGAGGCUCGAAAGCGUGGGGAGCAAACAGG